rnacentral:rRNA from 1 species
CCUACGGGUGGCAGCAGUGGGGAAUAUUGGACAAUGGGGGGAACCCUGAUCCAGCCAUGCCGCGUGUGUGAAGAAGGCCCUCGGGUUGUAAAGCACUUUCAGUGAGGAAGAACGCCUGGUGGUUAAUACCCAUCAGGAAAGACAUCACUCACAGAAGAAGCACCGGCUAACUCCGUGCCAGCAGCCGCGGUAAUACGGAGGGUGCGAGCGUUAAUCGGAAUUACUGGGCGUAAAGCGCGCGUAGGUGGCUUGAUAAGCCGGUUGUGAAAGCCCCGGGCUCAACCUGGGAACGGCAUCCGGAACUGUCAAGCUAGAGUGCAGGAGAGGAAGGUAGAAUUCCCGGUGUAGCGGUGAAAUGCGUAGAGAUCGGGAGGAAUACCAGUGGCGAAGGCGGACUUCUGGACUGACACUGACACUGAGGUGCGAAAGCGUGGGUAGCAAACAGGAUUAGAUACCCCAGUAGUC